AGUGAACGCUGGCGGUAGGCCUAACACAUGCAAGUCGAACGGCAGCACAGGAGAGCUUGCUCUCUGGGUGGCGAGUGGCGGACGGGUGAGGAAUACAUCGGAAUCUGCCCAGUCGUGGGGGAUAACGUAGGGAAACUUACGCUAAUACCGCAUACGACCUUCGGGUGAAAGAGGGGGAUCGCAAGACCUCUCGCGAUUGGAUGAGCCGAUGUCGGAUUAGCUAGUUGGCGGGGUAAUGGCCCACCAAGGCGACGAUCCGUAGCUGGUCUGAGAGGAUGAUCAGCCACACUGGAACUGAGACACGGUCCAGACUCCUACGGGAGGCAGCAGUGGGGAAUAUUGGACAAUGGGCGCAAGCCUGAUCCAGCCAUACCGCGUGGGUGAAGAAGGCCUUCGGGUUGUAAAGCCCCUUUGUUGGGAAAGAAAUCUUUCAGGCUAAUACCCUGGGAGGAUGACGGUACCCAAAGAAUAAGCACCGGCUAACUUCGU
rnacentral:rRNA from 1 species